rnacentral:rRNA from 1 species
CCUACGGGGGGCAGCAGUGGGGAAUAUUGGACAAUGGGGGCAACCCUGAUCCAGCCAUGUCGCGUGUGUGAAGAAGGCCCUCGGGUUGUAAAGCACUUUCAGUGAGGAAGAACGCCUGGUGGUUAAUACCCAUCAGGAAAGACAUCACUCACAGAAGAAGCACCGGCUAACUCCGUGCCAGCAGCCGCGGUAAUACGGAGGGUGCGAGCGUUAAUCGGAAUUACUGGGCGUAAAGCGCGCGUAGGUGGCUUGAUAAGCCGGUUGUGAAAGCCCCGGGCUCAACCUGGGAACGGCAUCCGGAACUGUCAAGCUAGAGUGCAGGAGAGGAAGGUAGAAUUCCCGGUGUAGAGGUGAAAUGCGUAGAGAUCGGGAGGAAUACCAGUGGCGAAGGCGGCCUUCUGGACUGACACUGACACUGAGGUGCGAAAGCGUGGGUAGCAAACAGGAUUAGAUACCCUGGUAGUC